rnacentral:rRNA from 1 species
AUUGAACGCUGGCGGCGUGCUUAACACAUGCAAGUCGAGCGGCAGCGGGCCCGCAAGGGUGCCGGCGAGCGGCGGACGGGUGAGCAAUACAUAGGAAUCUGCCUCAGAGCGGGGGAUAGCCAGGGGAAACCCUGAUUAAUACCGCAUGACGUCGAGAGACCAAAGUGGGGGAUCGUAAGACCUCACACUCUGAGAUGAGCCUACGUCGGAUUAGCAGUUGGCGGGGUAACGGCCCACCAAGGCGACGAUCCGUAGCUGGUCUGAGAGGACGAUCAGCCACACCGGAACUGAGACACGGUCCAGACUCCUACGGAGGCAGCAGUGGGAAUUUUGGACAAUGGGGGCAACCCUGAUCCAGCCAUUCCGCGUGAGUGAAGAAGGCCUGGU